rnacentral:rRNA from 1 species
UACGUAGGGUGCGAGCGUUGUCCGGAAUUACUGGGCGUAAAGAGCUCGUAGGUGGUUUGUCGCGUUGUUCGUGAAAACUCACAGCUUAACUGUGGGCGUGCGGGCGAUACGGGCAGACUGGAGUACUGCAGGGGAGACUGGAAUUCCUGGUGUAGCGGUGAAAUGCGCAGAUAUCAGGAGGAACACCGGUGGCGAAGGCGGGUCUCUGGGCCGUAACUGACGCUGAGGAGCGAAAGCAUGGGGAGCGAACAGG